rnacentral:rRNA from 1 species
UAACAAGGUUUCGUAGUGACCUGCGGAGGAUCAUUACCGAGUGAGGGCCCUCUGGGUCCAACCUCCCACCCGUGUUUAUCGUACCUUGUUGCUUCGGCGGGCCCGCCUCACGGCCGCCGGGGGGCUUCUGCCCUCGGGCCCGCGCCCGCCGAAGACACCAUUGAACGCUGUCUGAAGAUUGCAGUCUGAGCAAUUAGCUAAAUAAGUUAAAACUUUCAACAACGGAUCUCUUGGUUCCGGCAUCGAUGAAGAACGCAGCGAAAUGCGAUACGUAAUGUGAAUUGCAGAAUUCAGUGAAUCAUCGAGUCUUUGAACGCACAUUGCGCCCCCUGGUAUUCCGGGGGGCAUGCCUGUCCGAGCGUCAUUGCUGCCCUCAAGCACGGCUUGUGUGUUGGGCCUCCGUCCUCCUCCCGGGGGGACGGGCCCGAAAGGCAGCGGCGGCACCGCGUCCGGUCCUCGAGCGUAUGGGGCUUCGUCACCCGCUCUUGUAGGCCCGGCCGGCGCUUGCCGACACAUCAAUCUUUUUUCCAGGUGACCUCGAUCAGGAGAUACCCGCUGAACUUAAGCAUAUCAAUAAGCGGAGGAAAAGAAGACAACAGGGAUUGCCCCAGUAACGGCGAGUGAAGCGGCAAGAGCUCAAAUUUGAAAGCUGGCCCCCUCGGGGUCCGCAUUGUAAUUUGCAGAGGAUGCUUCGGGAGUGGCCCCCAUCUAAGUGCUCUGGAACGGGCCGUCAUAGAGGGUGAGAAUCCCGUAUGGGAUGGGGUGUCCGCGACCAUGUGAAGCUCCUUCAACGAGUCGAGUUGUUUGGGAAUGCAGCUCUAAAUGGGUGGUAAAUUUCAUCUAAAGCUAAAUAUUGGCCGGAGACCGAUAGCGCACAAGUAGAGUGAUCGAAAGAUGAAAAGCACUUUGAAAAGAGAGUUAAAAAGCACGUGAAAUUGUUGAAAGGGAAGCGCUUGCGACCAGACUCGCCUGCGGGGUUCAGCCGGUAUUCGUACCGGUGUACUUCCCCUGGGCGGGCCAGCGUCGGUUUGGGCGGCGGUCAAAGCCCUCGAAUGUAACGCCUCUCGGGGCGUCUUAUAGCCGAGGGGCCAUGCGGCCUCCCGGACCGAGGAACGCGCUUCGGCACGGACGCUGGCUAAUGGUCGUAAGCGACCCG